GCUCCAGUGGCCUAGUAGUUAGAGCAUCCAUCUCAGAUGCAGGAGGUCGUGGGUUCGAUCCCCAGUCGAGUCA